rnacentral:rRNA from 1 species
UCAAUAGCGUAUAUUAAAGUUGUUGCAGUUAAAAAGCUCGUAGUUAAAUUUCGGAGUUAGUAGGUUGGUCAUGCCUCUGGUAUGUACUGGUCUCACUGAUUCCUCCUUCCUGAUGAACCGUAAUGCCAUUAAUUUGGUGUUAUGGGGAAUUUGGACUGUUACUUUGAAAAAAUUAGAGUGUUUAAAGCAGGCUAACGCUUGAAUACAUUAGCAUGGAAUAAUGAAAUAGGACGUUCGAUCCUAUUUUGUUGGUUUCUAGGAUUGACGUAAUGAUUAAUAGGGAUAGUUGGGGGCAUUAGUAUUCAAUUGUCAGAGGUGAAAUUCUUGGAUUUAUUGAAGACUAACUACUGCGAAAGCAUUUGCCAAGGAUGUUUUCAUUAAUCAAGAACGAAAGUUAGGAGAUCGAAGACGAUCAGAUACCGUCGUAGUCUUAACCAUAAACUAUGCUGACUAGGGAUCGGAUGAUGUUAAUUUUUUAAUGACUCAUUCGGCGCCUUACG